AACGAACGCUGGCGGCAGGCCUAACACAUGCAAGUCGAGCGCCCCGCAAGGGGAGCGGCAGACGGGUGAGUAACGCGUGGGAAUCUACCCAUCCCUACGGAACAACUCAGGGAAACUUGAGCUAAUACCGUAUACGCCCUUCGGGGGAAAGAUUUAUCGGGGAUGGAUGAGCCCGCGUUGGAUUAGCUAGUUGGUGGGGUAAUGGCUCACCAAGGCGACGAUCCAUGGCUGGCCUGAGAGGAUGAUCAGCCACACUGGGACUGAGACACGGCCCAGACUCCUACGGGAGGCAGCAGUGGGGAAUAUUGGACAAUGGGCGCAAGCCUGAUCCAGCCAUGCCGCGUGAGUGAUGACGGCCCUAGGGUUGUAAAGCUCUUUCAACGGUGAAGAUAAUGACGGUAACCGUAGAAGAAGCCCCGGCUAACUUCGUGCCAGCCGCCGCCGUAACAC
rnacentral:rRNA from 1 species